CCCCGCCCCGCCGUUCCGCUCUCCUUACGCGGAGAGAAAGAGGCGAGCGUCCCCUUGUUUCAGAGGGAGGCUGCAGGCCUGGAAGGCAGUUCACGUGCUGGGGAAAACAGGGUCGUCGUGCGCUCCUUUCUUGGUGCAGCCUGAAGCCUGCAAAAUGGAGAAGAGAACAACCAAUAAAAGUGAUGGAGCCGCUUCAGUGCAGUCACUGAAACAAGACAAUCCCUGUUGCCAGUCUACAAUCACAAAAGACACGACUCACGAGGAAAAAGGGAAGCGGAAGAGGUUAAAGUUUCUUUGGCAGACCUGGUGAAAUUGGCUGGCCUCCCCCUUUCAUCUCCUCCUGUACAGCCCUGCAUAACUUGCCUGGACUACCCUGCAGGGCUGUUGCAAGGGGCGGAUACAAACCUGACCUACAACUUGCAAUAUUCAGAGUGAACCAUAUUUCUGGGCUGUCCUGAAUCUUCCCCAGAGACAGCCUUCUCCAACCAACAGUAUGAGAAUGAUGGAAAUAUUUGCUCUGGGACUUGUAUUAGCAGGGCGACUUUUAACUAUUUUAGAACUCAGCCAAGUUAAAUAUUUUGCAAUACACAAGAUAUUACUUAGAAAGUG